rnacentral:tRNA from 1 species
ACCGUUUUAGCUCAACUGGCAGAGCGCCGGUCUCCAAAACCGGAUGCCGCAGGUUCGAUUCCUGCAAACGGUGCCA